CUAGAACUGGACACCUCGGGGGUUUCCUGCUUUAUGGCGAAGGGCCAGGGCCCCACACCUUCCGCCUGACAGCCAGCCAAGCUCUUCAGUCCCCCGCCCUCCACCUGCCAGGGAGGCUCCGGGCGUUGUACCUGCCACCACGGGGUAGGUCUGACGGAGUUUUGCUCUUGUUGCCCAAGCUGGAGUGCAAUGGUGCGAUCUUCGCUUACUGCAACCUCUGCUUCCUGGGUUCAAGUGAUUCCCCUGCCUCAGCCUCCCGAGUAGCAGGGAUUACAGAUGGAGCCUCGCUCUGUCACCCAGGCUGGAGUGCAGUGGCACAAUCUCGGGUCACUGCAACCUCCGCCCCCCAGCUUCAAGCGAUUCUCCUGUCUCAGCCUCCCGAGUAGCUAGGAUUACAGGUGCACGCCACCAGGCCUGGCUAAUUUUUAUAUUUUUAGUAGAGAUGGGAUUUUGCCUUGUUGGCCAGGCUGGUCUCAAACUCCUGACCUCAGGUGACCCAUCCACCUUGGCCUCCCAAAGUGCUGGGACUACAGGUGUGAGCCACCAUGCCUGGUCCCCCACUUGUUGAUUUUGCAGAAAAGAUAGCUGUGUUACAACCUGUCCUAAGGUCAGGUAUGAAUACUUGUGCUUCUUUCUUGGCUCCCCAAGCCAGAGGGCAUUCCUAUGCCCAGGUGAGAGAGCACGGAGUGUUACUUUGGCAGCACAGUCAGUUACCAGAGGUAGGAAAAGCAAAGGCCAGGCAGGACAUGAGGGGCCCUUGCACUGGCUGGUUCUCCCUGCCUUCACCACCCUCCAGGUGAAUGACUGGGUGAAUAAUGAUUGACUGAGGAGGUAAUGAAUAAUUUAUGGACACUGCUGGACCUCAGUCUCCUCAUCUGAAAGAUGAGUGGUUGGAGAAGUUUAAUGGUUUUCAAAUGCUUUUUUUUUCAGUCUUCAAAUAAGUGUUUACGUAGAAGCACCAUAUCUGAAACAGGUGACAGUGGACCAGUCUGAAUGAAAUGAGGGUUGGCAGGCCUGAGCUCCAAAACCUUCUGAUUGCCCAAGCCCUCCUUGUCUUGCUUGGAUUAUCUCCACACAAAUGGAGAAACUGGACAAGGUGGUCAUGGAGGUCCCUGAAAGCUCAAAGACUUUCUCAUUCCAGGAUUCCCCAUGUUCAUAUGCCAGCAUGGCAUGGGGGUGCUCUGUAGUCAAGCAGGGUCCUUUGGGGGGCUUAGGGAUGGAGCCAGGAAAUGGCUCUGGGACUCAGCGGGUGUCCAGAGUCUCAUCAGCAGGGUUUCUUUACUUUCACUGAGUGGCUGGUGCCUGCACACUGAGUUUUGCAGGCUUACUCUCACAGAGUGAGCUUCCUGCAGGCCCCCCACUGCAACCCCUUUCCUUCCUGGAGCUGUGUGCUGACUGGUGCGUGAGCACCCCAGGCCCUCUCCCCAUGCUGCUGAUGGUCAGCUUUCUCUGCACGCUCGUGGUUGCCACAGUCAACGCUGAUAAAAUUGCUGAUGCAGAUUGCCUGCCCAGCUGCGAGUGCUGGCACGGGACCAGCAGCCCAGACGGUCACUGGAAGUGGUUGGGCUGAUUAUUGGCAUCAUCUCCAUUGUCCUACUCGGUUCUUAAAGGCAUAUGGACUUGCCUCACUCCUACAGCAAAUGACGGCAUGGGCAAAGAGGGGCAACAGACCCACCCUGAAGACACUCCUCAUCUGGUUGACUUGGCAGGGUUAAGGGAAAAAGAUGUGAUGACUAGGAGCUGAGAGCUUAGUGGUUCUGCCAGAGCUGCAGAGUCUUUGUUGGCCUCAGGGUGGGACCUCUCACAUCUCUGUCAGCUUUUCACGGACACCAACCUGUUAUGAUUCAUUUCACCUGUCCUGAGCACUAGCAAGAAAAAUUCGCUGUAGCUUGUGAUGUAUUAUUCUGGAUUUCUCAACUCAUUCAUUUGUUCAUUCAUUCACUAUACCAUUACUGUCUAUUAUAAGGGGGGCACAAUGGUAGGUGCUGGGAAUAAAAACGAUGUUUAACGUUUCAUGAGGCUUCCCUGU
rnacentral:lncRNA from 1 species